AUUGAACGCUGGCGGCAGGCUUAACACAUGCAAGUCGAGCGGAGAUGAGGUGCUUGCACCUUAUCUUAGCGGCGGACGGGUGAGUAAUGCUUAGGAAUCUGCCUAUUAGUGGGGGACAACAUUCCGAAAGGAAUGCUAAUACCGCAUACGUCCUACGGGAGAAAGCAGGGGAUCUUCGGACCUUGCGCUAAUAGAUGAGCCUAAGUCGGAUUAGCUAGUUGGUGGGGUAAAGGCCUACCAAGGCGACGAUCUGUAGCGGGUCUGAGAGGAUGAUCCGCCACACUGGGACUGAGACACGGCCCAGACUCCUACGGGAGGCAGCAGUGGGGAAUAUUGGACAAUGGGGGGAACCCUGAUCCAGCCAUGCCGCGUGUGUGAAGAAGGCCUUAUGGUUGUAAAGCACUUUAAGCGAGGAGGAGGCUACUGAGACUAAUACUCUUGGAUAGUGGACGUUACUCGCAGAAUAAGCACCGGCUAACUCUGUGCCAGCCGCCGCUAUAAGAC
rnacentral:rRNA from 1 species